AUUGAACGCUGGCGGCAGGCCUAACACAUGCAAGUCGGACGAGUGGCGGACGGGUGAGUAAUGUCUGGGAAACUGCCUGAUGGAGGGGGAUAACUACUGGAAACGGUCGCUAAUACCGCAUAACAUACGAGAUGCCAAGAUGGGAUUAGCUUGUUGGUGGGGUAACGGCUCACCAAGGCGACGAUCCCUAGCUGGUCUGAGAGGAUGACCAGCCACACUGGAACUGAGACACGGUCCAGACUCCUACGGUAGGCAGCAGUGGGGAAUAUUGCACAAUGGGCGCAAGCCUGAUGCAGCCAUGCCGCGUGUAUGAAGAAGGCCUUCGGGUUGUAAAGUACUUUCAGCGGGGAGGCGUUACCCGCAGAAGAAGCACCGGCUAACUCCGUGCCAGCAGCCGCGGUAAUUC
rnacentral:rRNA from 1 species